UACGUAGGGUGCAAGCGUUGUCCGGAAUUAUUGGGCGUAAAGAGCUCGUAGGCGGUUCGUCGCGUCGGCUGUGAAAACCCGGAGCUCAACUCCGGGCCUGCAGUCGAUACGGGCGGACUAGAGUUCGGCAGGGGAGACUGGAAUUCCUGGUGUAGCGGUGAAAUGCGCAGAUAUCAGGAGGAACACCGAUGGCGAAGGCAGGUCUCUGGGCAUUAACUGACGCUGAGGAGCGAAAGCAUGGGGAGCGAACAGG
rnacentral:rRNA from 1 species